UUUAUGGAGACGUUCUAUCACUGAGAAUUCUAGAAGCCUCUCCUCUCCUUUAUAGAGACGUUCUAUCACUGAGAAUUCUAUCAGCUAGAAGCCUCUCCUUUAUAGAGACGUUCUAUCACUGAGAAUUCUAGAAGCCUCUCCUUUAUAGAGACGUUCUAUCACUGAGAAUUCUAGAAGCCUCUCCUUUAUAGAGACGUUCUAUCACUGAGAAUUCUAGAAGCCUCUUCUUUAUAGAGACGUUCUAUCACUGAGAAUUCUAGAAGCCUCUCCUCUCCUUUAUAGAGACGUUCUAUCACUGAGAAUUCUAGAAGCCUCUCCUCUCCUUUAUAGAGACGUUCUAUCACUGAGAAUUCUAGAAGCCUCUCCUCUUCUUUAUAGAGACGUUCUAUCACUGAGAAUUCUAGAAGCCUCUCCUCUCCUUUGUGCAGACGUUCUAUCACUGAGAAUUCUAUCAGCUGGAAGUCUCAGACCUCGAGCUGCAGAGUAGAAUAUUCUCCUGACCUGUGAACCUAAUAUGCACAUUGCUUCGGGAGGCUGAUAAGAAACGAUGUACAGAGAAAACAACCCAACGUCUAUAAUAUUUACUAAUAAUAAAGACUUGUCUUUAAAGUUACAGGGAGGGUGUUUUGGCGUUGUGUCUUCCUGACUGGAGGACCGGCGGGGGGGCAGGGUGGUUUCAGGGUCUUCGUAUUAUCUCGUCUUCUUCGGAGGAGGGGGGGGGGGGAACUGCACUUUCUGAAGGACAAUCCUUAUUUGGUAACAGAGGCCUGAUGUGACGUGCUACCUUGGGGUAGAAACUCCAGCCUGCUCCUCCCACUGUCAUCCAUGUCUCCUCCCAUCGUCACCACGACGACCACCAUGAUGCUGUUGUUCUGUUGUCAUUGUUUUUAUUUCAUAAUAAUAAUAAUGAUAUAUAUAUAUUUUUUUUUUCCUUUUUUUUUGUGAUUAUUUUAGUGCUCUUAAGAGAAUGUGUACUAAAGGUGUAGUGUUAUAAGGUGGUUGGUCUCCAGAGCCGACGGGCCGACCGACCGACCGAGCGCUAGACAGAUUGAUAACUGUUUGUAAACCUUCUGGCCGUAGUGUCGGAACACAAAGCUGUAUAACUUGGGUACAACCCUCAAUAAAAGACUAACAGUGAUUUAACUGA
rnacentral:lncRNA from 1 species